UAGUUUUCAUUGUGAUCAGAUGAUACCAGGAAGAACGGAGCCCCUGACCAGUGUGAGUCAUAGCAGUGCAGGAGAAGAGACACUCAAGGAGAGAGCCCACCUAAGUUUAUGUCUACAGACUGAAUUUCCAGAGGCUUAGGAUAUGGAAGUUCUUCA
ensembl:misc_RNA